rnacentral:tRNA from 1 species
ACUUAGAUAGUUUAAAAAAAACUUUGAUUUGUGGUGUCAAGAAUAUGAAAUAAGCUUUCAUUUUGGGUU